rnacentral:misc_RNA from 1 species
GAUGAAGAACGUAGCGAAAUGCGAUAAGUAAUGUGAAUUGCAGAAUUCAGUGAAUCAUCGAAUCUUUGAACGCACCUUGUGCCCUUUGGCUAUUCCGAAGGGCAUGCCUGUUUGAGUAUCAUGAACACCUCAACUCUCAUGGCUUGCCGUGAUGAGCUUGGACUUUGGGGGUCUUGCUGGCCUGUGGUUGGCUCCUCUCAAAUGAAUCAGCUUAUCAGUGUUUGGUGGCAUCACAGGUGUGAUAACUAUCUACGCUUGUGGUUUUCCACCAGGUUAACCUUCAGUGAUGGAUGUUCGCUGGAGCUCAUAAAUGUCUCUUCUCAGUGAGGACAGCUCUUUGAACGUUUGAUCUCAAAUCAGGUAGGACUACCCGCUGAACUUAAGCAUAUCAAUAAGCGGAGGA